AGCAGCCGCGGUAAUUCCAGCUCCAAUAGCGUAUAUUAAAGUUGUUGCAGUUAAAAAGCUCGUAGUUGAAUUUCGGGAUCAGUGCGUUGGUCGUGCCUUGGUACGUACUGGCGUCACUGGUUCCUACCUUCUGACGAACCGUCAUGUCAUUAAUUUGGUGUGGCGGGGAAUCAGGACUGUUACUUUGAAAAAUUAGAGUGUUUAAAGCAGGCUCGCGCUUGAAUACAUUAGCAUGGAAUAAUGAAAUGGGACGUUCGAUCCUAUUUUGUUGGUUUCUAGGAUUGACGUAAUGAUUAAUAGGGAUAGUUGGGGGCAUUAGUAUUCAAUUGUCAGAGGUGAAAUUCUUGGAUUUAUUGAAGACUAACUACUGCGAAAGCAUUUGCCAAGGAUGUUUUCAUUAAUCAAGAACGAAAGUUAGGGGAUCGAAGACGAUCAGAUACCGUCGUAGUC
rnacentral:rRNA from 1 species